GGUUAAGCGACUAAGCGUACACGGUGGAUGCCCUGGCAGUCAGAGGCGAUGAAGGACGUGCUAAUCUGCGAUAAGCGUCGGUAAGGUGAUAUGAACCGUUAUAACCGGCGAUUUCCGAAUGGGGAAACCCAGUGUGUUUCGACACACUAUCAUUAACUGAAUCCAUAGGUUAAUGAGGC
rnacentral:rRNA from 1 species